UACGGGGGGAGCACGCGUUGUUCGGAUUUACUGGGCGUAAAGGGCGCGUAGGCGGUCAGCACAAGUCAGUUGUGAAAUCUCCGAGCUUAACUCGGAAAGGUCAACUGAUACUGUGCGACUAGAGUGCGGAAGGGGCAACUGGAAUUCUUGGGGUAGCGGUGAAAUGCGUAGAUAUCAAGAGGAACACCUGCGGCGAAGGCGGGUUGCUGGGCCGACACUGACGCUGAAGCGCGAAAGCGUGGGUAGCAAACGGG
rnacentral:rRNA from 1 species